rnacentral:lncRNA from 1 species
GGAAAACCCUCACAUUGAUAUAUUUGAAUUGCCUUUUAUUAAUAUAAAUAUCUUUUCAUAAUGGUUCAUUUAUUUAUUUAGUUCUUCAAAUGUCGACGCCAUUUGCUAAAAAUCUUGCGUACAUCACGGAAGACAACAAUAAACCUUAGUGAAGCAGCAAGUACAAAUUAUGCACCUGCAAAUUGCAGAUCUUAUGAAAUAACAGAGACCUUAAGAAGCCAGAUAAGCAACUCAUAAAUUAUAUAAAAUAACGGUUUUUCGGUGGCGGUAAAUGAUGGUGGAUGUCUUGGGAUCCAUGACUUGGUGUAUAGUCAAUAAUCACUAUUGAAUCAUCUUGAUCAUUGUUUGUAUAUUUCUCCAUUUCAUUAACCUUAGCUGGAGUACAUGCAUAAGCUUGUAUUGAUUCAAUUUCUCUUCUUCCAAUUCCUCCUGCUAAUAAGUAUAACAAAUGAAUAUAUAUAAAAAAAUAGGCAUCAGUUUGAUAUAUUUGUGAGAUGAAAUAUAUAUAUAAAACAAUGAAAGAGAGGGGGCCGGAAUAAAAUUACCUUGUGUCACUGUUAUAAUGAAGCACACCAAAAAGAUGGUCUUCAAAAGAAGAAGAUUUGUAGUUGCAACAGCCUCAACCAUGACUACUAUACUACACUAUCAAAAUAUUUCUGAUGAAAG